GACGAACGCUGGCGGCGUGCCUAACACGUGCAAGUCGAACGGAACUGUUUUGAAAGAUUUCUUCGGAAUGAAUUUGAUUUAGUUUAGUGGCGGACGGGUGAGUAACGCGUGAGUAACCUGCCUUCAAGAGGGGGAUAACAUUCUGAAAAGAAUGCUAAUACCGCAUGAUAUAUCGGAACCACAUGGUUUUGAUAUCAAAGAUUUUAUCGCUUGAAGAUGGACUCGCGUCCGAUUAGUUAGUUGGUGAGGUAACGGCUCACCAAGACCGCGAUCGGUAGCCGGACUGAGAGGUUGAACGGCCACAUUGGGACUGAGACACGGCCCAGACUCCUACGGGAGGCAGCAGUGGGGGAUAUUGCGCAAUGGGGGCAACCCUGACGCAGCAACGCCGCGUGAAGGAUGAAGGUUUUCGGAUUGUAAACUUCUUUUAUUAAGGACGAAACUUGACGGUACUUAAUGAAUAAGCUC
rnacentral:rRNA from 1 species